rnacentral:rRNA from 1 species
AGAGUUUGAUCCUGGCUCAGGAUCAACGCUGGCGGCGUGCCUAACGCAUGUAAGUCGCACGCACGGUCCUUCAGGGCCGUGAGUGGCGAACGGCUGAGGAACACGUACGAACCUGCCCGCUUGUGGGGAAUACCCCACCGAAAGGUGAGCUAAUACCGCGUACGCUCAUCCUUUCAUGAGGAUGAGGAAAGCCGCAAGGCGCAGGCGGAGGGGCGUGCGGCCCAUCAGGUUGUUGGUGGGGUAAUGGCCUACCAAGCCCGCGACGGGUAGCUGGUCUGUGAGGACGAUCAGCCAGACUGGGACUGAGACACGGCCCAGACACCUACGGGUGGCAGCAGCGAGGAAUCUUCCACAAUGGGCGCAAGCCCGAUGGAGCAACGCCGCGUGGAGGACGACGGCCUUCGGGUUGUAAACUCCUUUCGGGGGGGAUGAAUGGGACAGUACCCCCAGAAGCAGCCCCGGCUAACUCUGUGCCAGCAGCCGCGGUAAUACAGAGGGGGCAAGCGUUGUCCGGAUUUACUGGGCGUACAGCGCGCGCAGGCGGACCGUGACGUGCCGUGUGACAAGCCACCGCUCACCGGUGGAGGGCCAUGGUACACGAGCGGUCUGGAGGCAGGGAGAGGGAUGUGGAAUGCCCGGUGGAGCGGUGAAAUGCGUAGAGAUCGGGCGGAACACCAGCGGCGAAGGCGGCAUCCUGGUCCUGUACUGACGCUGAGGCGCGAGAGCGUGGGGAGCGAACUGGAUUAGAUACCCCAGUAGUCC